GGCGAGCGAACGCGGAUUAGCCCAAACCAAUAAAGUUUUCUUUAUUGGGGUUGCGGACAUAUCAUAACGAAGAGGUAUCGUAAUUGAAGAGGUUUGGAAAGACCCACCACAGAAGGUAAUAGUCCUGUAUGUUAAACGAGAAGACUUCAGAUAUGAUCCAGAGUACCACGGGACACGUGAAACCCUGUGGGAAGCAGGAGGGACCACCCUCCAAGGCUAAAUACUACCUAGUGACCGAUAGCGUAUAGUACCGUGAGGGAAAGGUGAAAAGAACCCCGGGAGGGGAGUGAAAUAGAACCUGAAACCCUGUACUUACAAGCUGUGGAAGCACAUUUCUUGUGUGACCGCGUACUUUUUGUAGAACGGGCCAACGAGUUACGUUAAGUAGCAAGGUUAAGCACUUAAGGUGUGGAGCCGUAGCGAAAGCGAGUUUUAACUGAGCGUUCAGUUACUUGACGUAGACCCGAAACCGGGCGACCUACCCAUGAGCAGGAUGAAGCGAAAGUAAAAUUUCGUGGAGGUCCGAACCCACGAGCGUUGAAAAGCUCGGGGAUGACUUGUGGGUAGCGGUGAAAUUCCAAUCGAGCCCGGAGAUAGCUGGUUCUCCCCGAAAUAGCUUUAGGGCUAGCCUCAAGGUGAGAGAUACGGAGGUAGAGCACUG
rnacentral:rRNA from 1 species